GACGAACGCUGGCGGCGUGCCUAAUACAUGCAAGUCGAACGCAGUGGGGACGGGUGAGUAACACGUGGGUCACCUCCCAUCAGAGGGGAUAACCCUUGGAAACAGGUGCUAAACCGAUCCUGAUGGAUGACCCCGCGGUGCAUUAGCGAGUUGGUGGGGUAACGGCUCACCAAGGCCACGAUGCAUAGCCGACCGGAGAGGGUGAGCGGCCACACUGGAACUGAGACACGGCCCAGACUCCUACGGGAGGCAGCAGUAGGGAAUCUUCGGCAAUGGACGAAAGUCUGACCGAGCAACGCCGCGUGAGUGAAGAAGGUUUUCGGAUCGUAAAACUCUGUUGUUAGAGAAGCGGUAUCUAACCAGAAAGCCACGGCUAACUACGUGCCAGCAGCCGCGGUAAUAC
rnacentral:rRNA from 1 species